AUUGAACGCUGGCGGCAGGCCUAACACAUGCAAGUCGAACGGUAACAGGAAGAGGCUUGCUUCUUUGCUGUCGAGUGGCGGACGUGUGUGUCAUGUCUGUGAAACUGCUUGAUGGCGGGGGAUAACUACUGGAAACGGUACCUAUUACCGCAUAUCGUCGCAAGCCCAAAGAGGAGGACCUUCGGGCCUCUUGCCUUCGGCUGUGCCCGGGUGGGAUUAGCUAGUAGGUGGGGUAACGGCUCACCUAGGCGACGAUCCCUAGCUGGUCUGAGAGGAUGACCAGCCACACUGGAACUGAGACACGGUCCAGACUCCUACGGGAGGCAGCAGUGGGGAAUAUUGCACAAUGGGCGCAAGCCUGAUGCAGCCAUGCCGCGUGUAUGAUGAAGGCCUUCGGGUUGUAAAGUACUUUCAGCGGGGAGGAAGGGAGGAAAGUGAAUACCUGUACGUAUUGACGGUACCCGCAGAAGAAGCACCGGCUAACUCCGUG
rnacentral:rRNA from 1 species